rnacentral:rRNA from 1 species
UACGUAGGUGGCAAGCGUUGUCCGGAAUUAUUGGGCGUAAAGCGCGCGCAGGCGGUCCUUUAAGUCUGAUGUGAAAGCCCACGGCUCAACCGUGGAGGGUCAUUGGAAACUGGGGACUUGAGUGCAGGAGAGAAGAGUGGAAUUCCACGUGUAGCGGUGAAAUGCGUAGAGAUGUGGAGGAACACCAGUGGCGGAAGGCGACUCUUGGCCUGUAACUGACGC